UUUUAUCUGGUUAACACCAUGGUGGACAUGCCUGCUGUAAGGUGUCCCCUUAGGAACCAGGCAUUUGUGACCACAGCGGAGGACAUGAACCCUGAAAGAAAACGAGUGGUACACUGAAUGCUCUCUUCCGAGAGAUACAUCCUGGAGGAAGGAAAUAAUGAUGUCACCGGCCAAGGGCCUCAACACAGCCAGAACACCUCUCCACUGUCCCUCUCCCCCAGACCAACUCCUGUCCAUCUCUCAUCAGAAAAGAGCAGGCCUCCAAGAGACAACAACGAAACACAGCACAAGAAGAUACAAUAAAUCAAGGCAAGAGCUGUCACGCCAAAGCUGGACAAGGCAACCAAACUAACAGGAGGAGACGAGCCCCAAGAGUAGGCAAAAGAGUCAAAGGCAUGCGUGCUUCCACUAUUAGAAGUCUCACAAGACACCAAGCUAACAGCCAUGACAUCUACACAGGGGGCCUGGCGCUGAUCUGCAUGGGCCCCAUGCAUGCUGCUUCAGUCCCUGGGAGCCCAUGGGAGCCCUCGGUUGAUUCAAUGGGAUGUGUUCACCUGGUGUCCUGUAUCUCCUCUGACCCCUAGAAUUCUUCAGCUAACUUCUCUGCAAGGUUCCCUAAUCUCUGAGGGGAAGGGCCCAACGGAGGCCUCCAAUGUAAAUGCUCUCCAUCAGCUGACCUUUACUUUCCAAUCAUGUUAGUCUUCAGUUUUCUCUUGUUCUUCCACCACGGUAUGUUAUCACCACCGUGCAACCAUGACCUUCACUUUAUUUUCUCAUCCAUAAGUGAUGCAAAUGGAUUAAACGGCAUUAAAAACU